rnacentral:rRNA from 1 species
UACGGAGGGUGCAAGCGUUGUCCGGAAUCAUUGGGCGUAAAGAGUUCGUAGGUGGCAUGUUAAGUCUGGUGUUAAAGCCCGAAGCUCAACUUCGGUUAGGCACUGGAUACUGGCAAGCUUGAAUGUGGUAGAGGUAAAGGGAAUUCCUGGUGUAGCGGUGAAAUGCGUAGAUAUCAGGAGGAACAUCGGUGGCGUAAGCGCUUUACUGGGCCAUAAUUGACACUGAGGAACGAAAGCCGGGGUAGCAAAUGGG